rnacentral:rRNA from 1 species
CGAACGAACUCUGGUAUUGAUUGGUGCUUGCAUCAUGAUUUACAUUUGAGUGAGUGGCGAACUGGUGAGUAACACGUGGGAAACCUGCCCAGAAGCGGGGGAUAACACCUGGAAACAGAUGCUAAUACCGCAUAACAACUUGGACCGCAUGGUCCGAGCUUGAAAGAUGGCUUCGGCUAUCACUUUUGGAUGGUCCCGCGGCGUAUUAGCUAGAUGGUGGGGUAACGGCUCACCAUGGCAAUGAUACGUAGCCGACCUGAGAGGGUAAUCGGCCACAUUGGGACUGAGACACGGCCCAAACUCCUACGGGAGGCAGCAGUAGGGAAUCUUCCACAAUGGACGAAAGUCUGAUGGAGCAACGCCGCGUGAGUGAAGAAGGGUUUCGGCUCGUAAAACUCUGUUGUUAAAGAAGAACAUAUCUGAGAGUAACUGUUCAGGUAUUGACGGUAUUUAACCAGAAAGCCACGGCUAACUACGUGCCAGCAGCCGCGGUAAUACGUAGGUGGCAAGCGUUGUCCGGAUUUAUUGGGCGUAAAGCGAGCGCAGGCGGUUUUUUAAGUCUGAUGUGAAAGCCUUCGGCUCAACCGAAGAAGUGCAUCGGAAACUGGGAAACUUGAGUGCAGAAGAGGACAGUGGAACUCCAUGUGUAGCGGUGAAAUGCGUAGAUAUAUGGAAGAACACCAGUGGCGAAGGCGGCUGUCUGGUCUGUAACUGACGCUGAGGCUCGAAAGUAUGGGUAGCAAACAGGAUUAGAUACCCUGGUAGUCCAUACCGUAAACGAUGAAUGCUAAGUGUUGGAGGGUUUCCGCCCUUCAGUGCUGCAGCUAACGCAUUAAGCAUUCCGCCUGGGGAGUACGGCCGCAAGGCUGAAACUCAAAGGAAUUGACGGGGGCCCGCACAAGCGGUGGAGCAUGUGGUUUAAUUCGAAGCUACGCGAAGAACCUUACCAGGUCUUGACAUACUAUGCAAAUCUAAGAGAUUAGACGUUCCCUUCGGGGACAUGGAUACAGGUGGUGCAUGGUUGUCGUCAGCUCGUGUCGUGAGAUGUUGGGUUAAGUCCCGCAACGAGCGCAACCCUUAUUAUCAGUUGCCAGCAUUAAGUUGGGCACUCUGGUGAGACUGCCGGUGACAAACCGGAGGAAGGUGGGGAUGACGUCAAAUCAUCAUGCCCCUUAUGACCUGGGCUACACACGUGCUACAAUGGAUGGUACAACGAGUUGCGAACUCGCGAGAGUAAGCUAAUCUCUUAAAGCCAUUCUCAGUUCGGAUUGUAGGCUGCAACUCGCCUACAUGAAGUCGGAAUCGCUAGUAAUCGCGGAUCAGCAUGCCGCGGUGAAUACGUUCCCGGGCCUUGUACACACCGCCCGUCACACCAUGAGAGUUUGUAACACCCAAAGUCGGUGGGGUAACCUUUUAGGAAC